rnacentral:rRNA from 1 species
GAUGAACGCUGGCGGCGUGCCUAAUACAUGCAAGUCGAGCGAACGGACGAGAAGCUUGCUUCUCUGAUGUUAGCGGCGGACGGGUGAGUAACACGUGGAUAACCUACCUAUAAGACUGGGAUAACUUCGGGAAACCGGAGCUAAUACCGGAUAAUAUUUUGAACCGCAUGGUUCAAAAGUGAAAGACGGUCUUGCUGUCACUUAUAGAUGGAUCCGCGCUGCAUUAGCUAGUUGGUAAGGUAACGGCUUACCAAGGCAACGAUGCAUAGCCGACCUGAGAGGGUGAUCGGCCACACUGGAACUGAGACACGGUCCAGACUCCUACGGGAGGCAGCAGUAGGGAAUCUUCCGCAAUGGGCGAAAGCCUGACGGAGCAACGCCGCGUGAGUGAUGAAGGUCUUCGGAUCGUAAAACUCUGUUAUUAGGGAAGAACAUAUGUGUAAGUAACUGUGCACAUCUUGACGGUACCUAAUCAGAAAGCCACGGCUAACUACGUGCCAGCAGCCGCGGUAAUACGUAGGUGGCAAGCGUUAUCCGGAAUUAUUGGGCGUAAAGCGCGCGUAGGCGGUUUUUUAAGUCUGAUGUGAAAGCCCACGGCUCAACCGUGGAGGGUCAUUGGAAACUGGAAAACUUGAGUGCAGAAGAGGAAAGUGGAAUUCCAUGUGUAGCGGUGAAAUGCGCAGAGAUAUGGAGGAACACCAGUGGCGAAGGCGACUUUCUGGUCUGUAACUGACGCUGAUGUGCGAAAGCGUGGGGAUCAAACAGGAUUAGAUAUCCUGGUAGUCCACGCCGUAAACGAUGAGUGCUAAGUGUUAGGGGGUUUCCGCCCCUUAGUGCUGCAGCUAACGCAUUAAGCACUCCGCCUGGGGAGUACGACCGCAAGGUUGAAACUCAAAGGAAUUGACGGGGACCCGCACAAGCGGUGGAGCAUGUGGUUUAAUUCGAAGCAACGCGAAGAACCUUACCAAAUCUUGACAUCCUUUGACAACUCUAGAGAUAGAGCCUUCCCCUUCGGGGGACAAAGUGACAGGUGGUGCAUGGUUGUCGUCAGCUCGUGUCGUGAGAUGUUGGGUUAAGUCCCGCAACGAGCGCAACCCUUAAGCUUAGUUGCCAUCAUUAAGUUGGGCACUCUAAGUUGACUGCCGGUGACAAACCGGAGGAAGGUGGGGAUGGCGUCAAAUCAUCAUGCCCCUUAUGAUUUGGGCUACACACGUGCUACAAUGGACAAUACAAAGGGCAGCGAAACCGCGAGGUCAAGCAAAUCCCAUAAAGUUGUUCUCAGUUCGGAUUGUAGUCUGCAACUCGACUACAUGAAGCUGGAAUCGCUAGUAAUCGUAGAUCAGCAUGCUACGGUGAAUACGUUCCCGGGUCU